UCUUCUCUGGAAACCGAAGAGCCGGCUGGCGGAAGCGGAGUUGCUGGGUUGGGCCCUAUUCCAGGAAGGUAGCUGAUAACCUGCAGGACGGCUUGAUCUCUGCACUGGGACGGGCUGCAGAAUGCAUUGGUCGGAGCAGCGAAUGGCCGCACUCGAUCUCAGCGGUAGUAACAGGAAUCACUGCUCCGGGGUUUCCAGGCCGGUGCUGUGUCCAGGGAAAAGGUUGGAAGCCCUUUCGCAGCCGAGGAGCCCAACAACAACUCCCAUUAACUGGGCCUAGCCCGAUGGCGCCGCCACUGUCCGGAGGCCUGCAAUUACAACGUGUCAGGCAGCUGUUGACAUAGGGGUUGAGGAUUUUCACUGUGUCCUCGCCAUGCCGCGAUCUUUCCCCAUUAAAGCAAAUGUGGUAAACAGAAAAAAA